rnacentral:rRNA from 1 species
GAACGCGAAGAACCUUACCAGGUCUUGACAUCCCUCUGACCGCUCUAGAGAUAGAGUUUUCCUUCGGGACAGAGGUGACAGGUGGUGCAUGGUUGUCGUCAGCUCGUGUCGUGAGAUGUUGGGUUAAGUCCCGCAACGAGCGCAACCCCUAUUGUUAGUUGCCAUCAUUCAGUUGGGCACUCUAGCGAGACUGCCGGUAAUAAACCGGAGGAAGGUGGGGAUGACGUCAAAUCAUCAUGCCCCUUAUGACCUGGGCUACACACGUGCUACAAUGGCUGGUACAACGAGUCGCAAGCCGGUGACGGCAAGCUAAUCUCUUAAAGCCAGUCUCAGUUCGGAUUGUAGGCUGCAACUCGCCUACAUGAAGUCGGAAUCGCUAGUAAUCGCGGAUCAGCACGCCGCGGUGAAUACGUUCCCGGGUCUUGUACACACC